UAACUUCUAACCUAUUAACUACUAACUUUUAAUUUCAAGCCCUUUACUUUAAUGCCAUUUAAUUCUAGCUUUUAUACAUUUGCCAUUGUUUAUAUCAUUCUAAUUGUUUAUGUUAAUCUUUUAAUUUCAAGCCCUUUACUUUAAUGCCAUUUAAUUCUAGCUUUUAUACAUUUGCCAUUGUUUAUAUCAUUCUAAUUGUUUAUGUUAAUGCAAUUUUCACUUUGUCCACUUGGACCAUAUUGUGUGAUAUACUUUGUUUUGUGUAUAUUUUGCUUGUUUGUG
rnacentral:lncRNA from 1 species